CUUACACGCAGAACUGCAGAAAUCUCUUCUUUGAAAGCAGAGGAAGUCCACCCCAGGCCUGGCUGCCUGUCACAGUAAUAAGAUGGGAUGCAGCUAGAAAGCCAUCUCCCUCUCGUUGGACCAACGGGACUGAUGGAAGGCUGGGUUGCACAGGGCGGCAAACCUCUGCUGCGAGGGAACUUCUCCAAUAACGGGAGUGAAUUCCCGAAAGUGCCUUUUGCCCUACUGUCCGGUGGUUUCAGACAUGACUGGAGGGUCACCCCGUAGCUUUUGAUAGCCCUCCACUCCGCCAGAACUUGUUCUAGGCUUCAUUCAGGCCCUUCCCUGCCACCCGGUCCCAUUAAUUAUCACGGAUCCGGUACACAAAGCAACAGUGUUGCUCCCAGAACAUGGACAACCGUCAAGGACUGCGGGGUCACUUCAAUCACGGGACAUCCAUUGUCUGGUUGAAUAGCAGCUUCCUGUCACCGUCUAAAUAAUGAGCUAGAAAAAUCCCUUUCCUGGAGCCCAAGAGAGAGUGGGUGACCGAGGUCAAAGAGAAACUUCAGCGUUGCUGUCUGUCAGCCGCUGGGUGUGGGCGGGCUGAGCUUGGCGAUGACAGAACUGGAUCCAUCCAGUCCAUCACCCAGUAGCUUUGGGAUGCAAGUAGACACUUAAUGUCUCCGUACCUCUAUUCAAUCUUUUGUAAAAACCAAGGAGUUACAUAGAUCCUGAAAACUGUUCGCUUUAGCCAGCUGCGCCUCUGAACGGGCAGGUGCGUGGCCGAGUCCCCACCUCCUGAGCCUUAGACCUCCCAUUCCCCAGGAGUCAAAUGACCACCCCCAAAACACCCAGAGCUAAAUGAGGCCAUUUACACUAAAAGCUUCACUCCUGGAGACUGCUUUACAGCUCAGUGGGCGAAUACCAGAUCUUGCAGAAGCCUUUGAACCAGAUGGUGGAGUUACACCUAUUGGCCAGGGAGUGGCAGCUACAGUCCGGCCCUGAGUUGAAUCCGGGGCUGCGUGGACACUGAGUGCCCGCAGCAUCUCCAGACAGGAAGUAGCAGGAGCAGCAUUGUCUCGGGACCCCAUUGCCAUCUUUCCACAACACCAGCAGCCUACAGAGCGGUAAGAAAACAUCUGCUGCCAACCUCUCCAGGUUUGUGACUUCAAGCUCCCCUGGCAGAGGAGGGAAUUACCAUAUUUGGGGGGCAAUUUACAUCAAAUUACCAUGCACCAGCCAACAGCUGCCGCCUGGAGCGGGAGGCAGGCUGCACGGAGACGAUCACAUUUGUACACACGAUAAUGAAAACCCGAGCCCAGGCCUCCUCGUUCGCCCAUAAAUAUGGUCAUUAUGAUCUUGUUGGCAUUGCUUGUUGAAUUCCGUCUUGCAAAUUGUUUCCUGGUUGCCUGGGGGAGCUGAGUGCUCUUCUUAUUCUCCUGUUCUCUAAGACGUAACAGAGCUUAAGGCUCACCCAAGUUCCCUAACCCAUCCUCGGGUACAGAGAGGAUGGUGUCCGUCAGUCCCAGGAGCAGGCACCACAACCCAGUGCUUGCAGGGCACAGGGUGGAGUUCAGGGAAGAGGGGAGAGGGCUUGUAGGAAACAUGCUGCCUCCUCUUUUAUACGGGCUGACAAAUGUUAGCUUGUCGUGAGUGUGGUGGUAGGAGCGAGAUACAAAUCUGAAAUAAAAGGGCCCGAGAGGGAGACAGAACAUGCCCUCUCCUCCCCACGGCACUAGAAGGCUGGGGAGGACAAGGCAUGCAGAGCUCUUGCUAUGAAUCACAGAUGCCCUCCUGCAGAGCCACAGGGUGGAGGUGGGAGAGGGAUUCUUGGAAUAAGGACAAAAGGAAUUUCGUGGAAUCCAGGACCUGGCUCACCCCAGUGCUCCAGAAGAAGAGGACCUGUGGAGAGUUGCAGAGAGCUGGCAACAAGCCAAGUGCCCUCUUCCAGCGUGGUCUGCUUCUCUCUGCACAGGGGCUCAUGUCACAUGACCGGCUCUCCCUCUGCAAAACAGAAUACAGACGCUCACGUGCCAUGGUUGGGGUCAGGGCAGCUGUCUACAGGGUGGCUCUGCCUUGCGUCCUGAGUUUUAAUUAUCAGAGUGCUGUGGAAUGAGCUGGAAUAGGUUCUUCUUCUUCUUUUUUUUUUUAAAGAUUUAUUUAUUCAUUUAUUAUAUAUAAGUACACUGUAGCUGUCUUCAGAUACACCAGAAGAGGGCAUCGGAUCUCUUUACAGAUGGUUGUGAGCCACCAUGUGGUUGCUGGGAAUUGAACUCAGGACCUCUGGAAGAGCAGUCAGGUGCUCUUAACCGCUGAGCCAUCUCUCCAGCCCGGAAUAGGUUCUUCUUAGGCCAGUACCUCUCACAUGUCCCCUGAAUGCAGGAGGGUGAGCUCACCUCCGGGCAUGUGUCACUGUGGUGAGCAAAACUGGAGACUCUAGAGCACUGUAACAUAACCAAAUGAGCCUGUGUUAUAGACUCAGCUUAGCACUUUUCUUCUUUUGUUCUUGUGGUUUUGAGGCUAAAUUUUGCUCUGUAGUCCAGGCUGGCCUUGGACAGUAGCCUUUCAGGAGGGAAGAUUACAGGUAUGUACUGUCAUGUUUAGUACUACUUUUCAAACAUAUAUUUAUCUUAUUUUUAAGUGUGUGUGUGUGUGUGUGUGUGUGUGUGUGUGUUGAAGUGUUCUACUACAGGUUCCAGCAGAGGCCAGAAGAGGCUGUCAGAUCCCUGGAGCUGGACUUACAAGUGGCUAUGAGCUGCCUGCCUGAUCUUGGCUCUGAGAACUGCACUUAGUUCAUGUGGACCUUUUUGAGGUAACCCUGCAGGCUAACACUGUAACAAGUGCAGAGCGAAGUCUCAGACAAGUUUCUUGCAGGUGUCUGACCAUGGCGUCUCAUCGCAGCACUAGAACAGUAACUGAGACAAUCCCUAUUGCUGUGGGAUUAUCCCAAACUGUGGCACAACGUCAGGACCGACUGGGACACUGACUGGAUGGAUGCAGCCACCAGCUCUUACCAGAGUCACCUGAGUUCCUGGCAUCAGUUCCUCAUCUAUCAGUGGGACCAUUGAGGACCAGAAGAGCAUCCAGUGAACUUCUGUCUCAGCAUGUUUCUGAGGAGAUGGACAGACAGAGUGACUGUUUAGGGAAAGCCAGGGCACGGUGGAAAGAACGCAGGGCCUGGAGCCAGGUGCCUGGCCUCAGUCUCUGCCGCACUAGCCAGAUGUGGAAGCGGGUCCCCAUCUCCUUCCUCUUCUUCUCCGGCCUCAGUUUAUAAUGAGAUGAACCCUACCACGUGAUAUCUGGGAACUCCCAGCCAGCCUGUACGUGGAGCACACACGUAAGGGCAUUCUUUCCGGCAUUGAGAAGAAGCAUGGGCUAGGGAUGUGCAUCCUCACGGGGCAGAUAUGCAGACGAGGCGACAGGACGGGUGCACUGGAAGACACACAGAGCAGAACUCAAGAGCCAUGGAUCCUAGGAAACUACUGGAAGGCCGUGCCAAGGAACUGGGCAGGGGCCCUCUAGAAUCUUAACUCUUGGUGGAGAGGGUCAUUGGAGGCAGGAGACUACCUCAUCUGAUCUUCCUCAUGCAGGACUCAGCCUUCACUAACAGCAGGGGUUCUGAUAUCUGCUCCGAGAAUCCCCACAUUCUUCAAAAGACGUGUUUGGAAACAAGAAAUUGCUAGAGAGAUGAUUCAGGCCUUGGCCUCCGGUUGUGUCUGGACAUAAGCAGGCCCAUCUGUGGAGCUCCCACUGCCAAAUUCUGUCAUCCGGCUCCAUAUGGCCGGCUCCCUCCGCCCUCCCUGCUCACAACCUGCAGUCUGUCCCAGCCCACUCCGCAGGCGGUGACAACACAGAGAAUCCGGGGAGAGAAGCCUUGUUCCAGGAAGUGGCAUCUUUGCUCCCCUCCUGCCCUUCUUAGGACCACUAUGGGAGCCCAGAACACAGCAUGGCUGGACGUCCUGUGUCCACAGAGCCAUAAUGUGGAGUCUUCAAGCUGAGGAAGGCCCAAGGAGAUUGCGAGCCUUUGCCACCCUUAACCCAUCCCCCCCAAUAUGGAGGUUACUUUCUGUUCUA